UGCUGGUGUACCGCAGCCCAGCAGCUGGGAGCAGCCCCCUGUGCCCCAGGGAUGCCGCCGGGAUCCCCGGGUUGCUCCUCCCGGAGUCGGGGCCAGGAGCCGCAGCCAUCGGCAGGUGGCAGUGCAGCCCCAGCACCGGGUUAGCGGAAGGGCAGACGGCUCCCGAUGCGAGUGUGGGUUUUUUUAUUGGUUGGGGUUUUGUUUGUUGAGUCCCGAAGAGCUUGUUUGAUGCAGAGGAAAAUAGAGUCGGUUCCCACAGAAGCUGUCACAGCCAGGACUAGUGCUGCUGGGCUUUUCCAUGUUACAUCUUCUGUAGGCACUGAAUUUUGGCUCUUUCAUCAAAUUUAUUCAUUGCAGAGAAGAGUGAAAUGAGAUGUUGUCAAGCCGUUGUAUGUACAAACACGUGGUCUAUGUUUGAAAAAGACUGCUUUUCAUGUGUACUUAGGGUCACCUGUCGUAACUAAACCCAGGCACAAUGCUUGGGCAUUGCUCAGUUGAGCAUCUCUGCAAGUGCCCGUGCUGUUCUGCAAGAUUAGCUUUGCAAGUCUACCCCAAAUUCAAAUUUAUUUGCGUGCAUAAUAUUGUUUACAUACGGAAGACUAAAGUCUGUGAUAUAAACUAUGCUACUGAGACUUAGAGUGAGGCAACUGGUGUUUCUCUAUAGCAAUAAGCACCAACUGUUAAGCCCUGGAUCUUGCUUCACGGGCCUAGGAUUCUGCUGCUGCAAAGCAACAUCAAUAUUCCGCUUGGUUUGGGGAUGAUGGACUGUAAAUCACCAGUGCUAUUGUUUUUAGCCUCGCCUUUAAAAGAGUCUGUGUUUUACCGUCUCAAGUUUUAUGGCACUUAACUGCUCUGAUAAAGCACGUCCCAGAGCCUGAUAAAACGAGCUUUUGGUGGGUAAUUCAGGCACCUGGAGUUUCUCUGGCACAUUUUAACCCCCCCCAGUUAUCCCUGAUGCAGCAGUCCCUGUCUGUCUGGAAUCAGUAACUGGUUAUAUGGAGUACCUGUAGUCUUCAGCCCUAGCAAAAUCAGUCUCAGUAAGAGCCAGGCAGAAUCUCAAAGUAUUCUUUCUUACUGAAAGGGAUCAAGAGAACAUAAAGGUGUUUAUGUCUUUCUUCAUCUUUUUUUGUUAAUUCAGGUGGUUUGUAGCUAGGCCACUUAAGUUGAGGGCUAGAAGAAUGUGGCCUUGAAUCCUCUCAGCUAGAAGAGAGAAUUAAAACUAGGUCCACAACAUUCAGGCUGAAUGUUAAACCACUGAACAAUUAAAUAAGGGAGGGUGGAACCAUCACAAGCUGUGUUUCUUAUUGUGCUUUUUUUUUUUUUUUUUGUUUUUUUUUUUUGCAAUGAAGGAGUUUAGGCAAUGAUCCCAGCAGAAGGGAAGGGAUUACAGAGAUCAAUUCUACCUGAAGACAGACUUUUUCCUGCUCUCCAAGGUGAAGUUCCCAAAAGGACUGUUUGUGAGAAGCAGAGCCUCACCAGGGAACCGGCUCACACAUCCUGUAUCUGGCCUAACACCCCCACACACUCCCCAUGAAUGUAACAGCUCCUAAAGGUUGUCACUGACCUUACUCUGCCUUAGUUGGGCACUCUAAGCUGCUGUGCCUCAGCUCCUGACUAUCCUUGAGCAACUCAGCUGCCUGUGGACCAGGGGCAGUAAUUUUGUAAGCUGUCCAUAGCUGUGCUGUCCCUGCUUGUGAAUUAUAGCCUUAACUCCUCUAGAAAGAGCCAUAGUGGCUCUUUGCCUUCCCUUCAGUAUUUCUUGAUGAGACUCAGCAGAUCCUUACUCAGUAUGCUUGUUUUAUUAGGUACUAAUUUUAGUGCCGAACUCCCCUAGACAGGGAGGGAGAAGCAUCUGUCAGGCUGGCAGGCAAAGUCCAAGUGAUGUCAGGCAUUCUUCCCUGUCAUCCAGCUACCAAGCAGCGGGUAUUUAGUACGACAACAUCCAGAUGUCACAUAGAAUCAUGACUGGCCUAAAAAGCACGAGAGUCCUAAGAGAAUUCACAUCAUCAGGGUGAUUGAAUCUAAAUACUAGGCACUUGGGAUGACCUUUGCGGACUAUCUCCUACGGGUAGGCAUGGUUCGGAGUGCUAUUCAAAUCACCUCAGCUGACUGCUGACUCAUCUCUGGUUCCACUCUCUGCAUCCCAUUGCUUGAGCAUAAGAAUUGGUUUAGUAGCACUCAUUAGCUGUGAAAGGCAAACCUAACUAUAAUUUCUAUAUAAUCCUCGUGAGAUCAGAAGUGUCACAUAAAACGAGUAUGUAAAACUGUAUUAAAAAGGGAAAAAAAAAAAAAAAAGUAUUCACACAACUUUAACAGGGAUGCAUACCAGUCCCAGCAGGCUUCUUUCAAUGAGUAGAUGAGAGCUGCAAAUUAAAGAUACUUGCAGCUGGGAACUUCCUUUUCAAAUAACUGCAGGUCACUGUGACAUUUGAAAUGGUUGCAAAAAGCUACAAAGAGCCCACAGUCAUUGCAUGUUCUCCCCCAACACACACACACACAAUAGUUCCUUGAGCAAUCGGCACAGCUUUAUGCCCCACAGCCAUAGCAAGUUUCAGAGCUCUGGGACUGGAGUCAGGUGAAAGGGGAGUUGACAAGUUUCAUGUUAGCAAAAUAAACUUGUGAACCUCGUGAUACAUUUUUGGAAGAGAAUUACGUAGAACAGAGCUACUUGUAGUUAGUGCUUGCCUGUUUCUUUUACUGAUUUAAUGGAUAAGGUAUUUUCUAUUUAUUAGAACUUGAGCCAUAUGCUGUGCAAAACAAUUUGUAAGAUUAACUGUUAUUACUAUUCUGUAGGCAAAAAGGGGAACUUGGUCUGAAUCUAAACCCUUGUACUUUGCCUGUUGCCCUCCUGUGCUAAUUACAAGAAAAAUAAAAAGGUAGUGAUGCUGUCUUCAAUUGUCAGAAGACAGCAUUUCUUUUGGA